UUUCUGGGAUUUUGUUCAAACUGUGGUAUACAACGUAGGAUUCAGCUGCUGGAGUUUCCCGUCUGCACCAAAAUUUCAUUUGUUUAGAAGAAGCUACUGUUUGCCUGUGUGUGUGCAAUGUAUGUUGUCUUUACAGUGAUCAGACCCUAUGGGUUAUUCUUGCAGAGCCCUUUCUCAGCUCCAGCUGCUGCAAAUGCUCGUCUUUGUUCCCAUAACAGCUCCCAGAGAAGUCUCUCAGUCCUAAGACAUACGCAAGGCCAAACAAGCACUUGAAAAUAGGUUAGAAAGACCUGCAUUUUGAUAGCUCCAGCAUGCUUUCCAUGAAAUACGCUUGAAGACACUCUGUAGCUAAUUGGAGUUAGUCUGCAUGCCAAGAGAAGUUUUGAUGAGCUUCUAUAACAUUCACAGAAACAGGACUUGGGAGACUUUCAUUUUCCUGCACUAUUACUGCUGUGAAAGUAGAGUGUGACCACUAUGCUAUCACAUAGCAAGACAGCCAGGGUUUUCCCUGGAAGAGGUGAAUAAUGGUUGGAGGAGAAAACAUUGCCCCAGCAGUUGAUUGCCUCCUCUCAGCCCAGCACCCAGACCCUAUUGCUUUACACAGGGAUGGAGAGAGACAGAAGCUCCAAAGGGGAGGUGAGAUGGAUCUGCAGUAUCAGUGGUAUGCCAUCCAGGCAAGUGCAGGAGGACAAAUUUGGCAGCCAAUGGAGGAGGGAGAAACAGCGUCAAGCUGUACUGCCCUUGCAGUUGCACUGUACUGUGGACAGGCUCCACAGAUCUGAACUAAUCUGUCUCCUGUGUAACAGUGGCUGUCAUGAUGGUGGUUCUUGUUGGGUGAUGGUGUCAUACUCAGUUGUGUGCAAUGCAUAAAGAACAGUAUUUUAACUCGUCCUAAAUUAUGGGUGUCAUGAUGACAUGUUCAGCUCUGGGUUGUGUACAUGCUCUCAAUUUAUGCUUUCCUUGUGGCUUUUCCUGUUUUCUGUUCCUAUAUGGAAAAUUUCAGAAACAUGUCCA